GUAAUCCAGGUUACUAAUGGCGCACCUUCUGGUGGUGCGCCAUUAGUAGUUUUGCAAAAAAAAACAUACUAAUGGCGCACUGUACCACAGUGCGCCAUUACUAGUUUAAACUAGUAAUGGCGCACGGUGGAAAAGUGCGCCAUUAGUAGUUUUGCAAAAAAGGGAAUAAAAAAUAUAAUAGAAAAAACAACAUUAGUGGCGCACUUUCCGGCAGGUGCGCCAUUACUAGUUACAACUAGUAAUGGCGCACUGUGUCUGGAUGCGCCAUUAGUAUGUUUGGAUAGGCGCACUAGUUAAAAAAAUUGAUACUAAUGGUGCACCCUGGGCCAGGUGCGCCAUUACUAGUUACAACUAGUAAUGGCGCACUGUGUCUGGAUGCGCCAUUAGUAUGUUUGGACAGGCGCACUAGUUAAAAAAAUUGAUACUAAUGGCGCACCCUGCGCCAGGUGCGCCAUUAGUAGUUUCAACUCUAAUGGCGUAUCAGAAGGUGGUGCGCCAUUAGUAUAUACUAAUGGCGCACCGCUUGUCUGGUGCGCCAUUAGUGUCAAUCCCAUCUAUAGCCCUUUUUCUAGUAGUGAUGGUAUGAUUGUUGUCCUACGGACUAAACCCGCCGGUUUAUAUAGACACUGGAGGGGGCUAGGGUUACACAGAGUCGGUUACAAGGGAGGAGAUCUACAUAUCCGUAUUGCCAAGCUUGCCUUCCACGUCAAGGAGAGUCCCAUCCGGACACGGGUCGAAGUCUUCAAUCUUGUAUCUUCAUAGUCCAACAGCCCGGCCAGAGGAUAUAGUCCGGCUGUCCGAGGACCUCCUAAUCCAGGACUCCCUCACUCUUCCUCCCCCAAGAUCCAUUGUUGCUCUCAAGCUCAUUUCUCCCAAUCUCUCUCCCUAGCCAAUCAAACUUGUUGAUUCUUUAGGGAUUGGUUGAGAAGGCCUAGAUCUACACUUUCACCAAGAAAAAUUUGAUUCCCCCCACUAAUCCCUUGCGGAUCUUAUUACUCUUAGGUGUUUGAGCACCCUAGACGGUUGAGAUCACCUUGGAGCCACAUUUCAUUAUGGUGAAGCUUUGUGGUGGUGUUGAGAGCCUGCAAUUCAAUUGUGGAGAGAGCCCCGACCUUGUUUGUAAAGGUCCGGUUGCCGCCUUCAAGGGCACCACUAGUGGAAUCACGGCAUCUUGCAUUAUGCGAGGGCGUGAGGAGAAUACGGUGGCCCUAGUGGCUUCUUGGGGAGCAUUGUGCCUCCACACCACUCCAACAGAGACGUGCUUCCCCUCAACGGGAAGGAACUUCGGUAACACAUCCUCGUCGCCAUCGACUCCACUUGUAGUUAUCUCUUACCUUUACUUUGUGCAAGCUUUACUUGUGUUGUUUAUCUUGUCUGCUUGUGUUGUUGUUGUUGGUAGCAUCAUAUAGGUUGUUCACCUAGUUGCAUAUCUAGACAACCUAUUUGUUGCUAAACCUAAUUUAUUAAGAAAAGCUAAAAAUUGGCAGUUGCCUAUUCACCCCCCCCCCCUCUAGUCAACCAUAUCAAUCCUUUUAGGGCGGGGCGGCCCCCGGCGGCGAUCAUGGACCGACCGCCCCGGGGCGGCGUGGAGCGGAAGUGGUGGCGGCGGCUAGGGUUUGGAUCGGUUAGGCUGAUACCAUAUUAGAAGGGAUAGACAUGAAUUGGUGGAAUCGAUGUUUAUUGCUAGAGCCUCGUGGGCAUAUAUAUAGGAGUACAAUGACCAACUUGAAGUAUAAGACAAGGUAGGGUAAGACCCUAUGCUAUCCUAUCUUUUCUAAUAAUCAUAAUACUCAACAGAGACUAAACAAAGAAAAUUUACCAAACCCAGACUGGCAACUAUUACAGUCUAAUAUCGAGAACACCGCUAAAACCUCCAGUAAAAUGGUAGAAGCACUUGAAAAAUACUGCUACUAAUUAAAAAUAUUAAAAAAAAAAGGGAAGCCAUAAAAAUGGUGUUAACUACUCCCUCCGUCCCAUAAUGUAAGACGUUUUUUGACACUAGUGUAUUGUCAAAAAACGUCUUACAUUAUGGGACGGAGGGAGUAAUAAACAGAGCAGUUUCCAGAACUGGGGUACCCAUUAAGAGAACAUGACGUUUAGUACGAUUACCUUAAUGUAGAUCGAACAACUUAAAUCUUUGUUCUUCAACGCCUGGACCGAUUCUCAUCGAAGAACUCAAUCUGAGGUUGGAACCAAGAUGUCAAACUCAUUUUCCCAUGUACAUCCAUCGUAUGGAAGCCCAUCCCCUUUCACAUAGUACUCCCUUUGACCUGUAGAGUUUAUUCUGUUCAUAACUUCAAAUCAAAUAUGAGCCGAUCUUUGCUAACUGGAAAUCUAUGGAUCUACAAGAUGAAGACAAUAAGCACACUCAAAUGACCAAUACCAUCCUAAAAUCAAAGGACGUUGCUCUCUUUCUACGAGUAUCGCCAUUUACUGUGGACAAUAACAUGAUUGAGUACUGAAUAAAUGUGACAAUAUCCAAUAACAACUUCAUAAUUGAGUAAUAAGUACUCUCUCCAAACCAAUGAAGUAUGUGUUCACAGUACAACUUACCUAACACAAAAUUACAUGCAUAAGCUAAUUCACAAGGUAACAACUAUUAGGCCUAUUUUUAUGUCAAUUAAAUAUGAAAAUUUAGUAUCAAAGAAUAUUUCAUGUUCGACGUCAACAUACCACCAGAAAGAAACAUGGGCUCUCCUUGAGAUAAGGCCCUGUCUUCGACAUCUUCGAGAAGCAUGCGAGGAAGGUCCUGUUAAUAUCCACCCUCUACCCUACCGACCACACCACUACUGAGGGGUUCUCCCUGCAGGUCAGCGCCACCGACGCCAUGGACUACUAGAGUGUGGUCGGGUGCCAACACGGGCUUGUCCUCUCAUUAACGGCGUGUGAUCAUCCUGUUUGACCCUGUUUCUGCUGACCACCAGAUUUCGUUGAGCACGCGUAAACCUCCAACGGAGUUGUGGUCGCCGACGAGCAGGGCCAGUCGAGCACAUUCGAGAUGGUCUUGGUAGGCAUCUCGGGCAAUGGCAGCGUGGAGUCACUGCUGCCAAGGUCGGCGGAACCAUGUAUUGUUGGUCGUCUCCCUUGCAGCAAAAUGUUAAAAACACUUUAAAACCUCAAGCAAAAUGUAAAAAAACACUUCAAAAUACUACUACUAACUAAACGAGUGUUAGUAAGGGAGGGUGCCACGCUGAUGGUUUUAACUAAAGAAUAAAGAGCAGUAACCUGAACUAGGGUAAGCCGACACCAGAGACUUCUAAUAGAGCUACUGAUGACACAUCAAAGCCUAUUGAUAGAACAGAAUCUAGCAUCUUCUUUAUCGAAAAUGUGACCUUGGUUGGAUCUUACGAGCAAGUUUCCAUAUUCGAGACUAAGGAAUUUUCCCAAGCUCGGACUGGCAACAAUUACAGCCUAACAUCGAGAAAACCGCUAAAACCUCCAGCAAAAGGGUAAAAACACUUUAAAAUACUGCUACUAACUAAACGAAUGUUAGAAAAGAGGGGCGCCACACUAAUAGUUUUAACUAAACAAUAAAGAAUAUACUCUGCACAAAGAAAGCUCUUAGCUUCGAUGAAUAUUUCUGUCCUACCUAGGUGCCCUUUUAUAGAUUCCCUGGAGAUAUACACAUGUACACAUUACACAUAUUUUCGAUGUAAAUUGGGGGCUCAUAGGGUCGCGUGCUUUGAAAAAAAAAACUAAGUCUUGGUUUAUUAUACCAUGUAUUAGGGUAUUUUUCCUUGCACUGCAAAAAAAGAUCGAUAUUUUGUCCAUCCCGGAAAAUAUUAAUUGGAAUUUACUGUUCCAUAUCAGAUAUCAAUGAGUAGUAAUCUGUGUUGGAUAAACAGCAACUGGAUUUACCGAGGGCCAAAGGCCAGUACAUAUACAGGUGUGGGAAAGUGCAGAAAAGCCCCUUAUACAAUAGGGAUGUACAGAGAGUAACUAUACACAUCUAACACCCCCCCUCAAACUCAUGGUGGAUCAACAACACUGAGUUUGGAGAGGAAAAAGUCAUGCUGCGCUCGAGUCUGUGCCUUCGUGAAGAAGUCCGCCAACUGUAACUCAGAGGGCACAUAGUGAAGAGCGAGAGUCUGAUCCUGCACAGCAGCACGCACAAAGUGGGCAUCCACACUGAUGUGCUUGGUGAGCUCAUGCUUCACCGGGUCACGCGCGAUACUAAUAGCACCGGUACUGUCGGACAGUAAGGGAGUCGAGGUAGUGGCAGACACACCAAAAUCCUCAAGUAACCACCGUAACCAGAUCACCUCAGCCGUCAACAUAGCCAUGGCUCGCAACUCAGCCUCUGUACUCGAACGAGAAACGGCAGUCUGCUUCUUUGUCUUCCAGGCAAUAAGAGAGCCACCAAGAAAGACACAAUAAGUAGACAGCGAGCGUCGAUCAGAGGGAUCACUAGCCCAGGUUGCAUCAGAGUAGGCCUGGAGCUCAAGAGAGCUGGAGCGGGGAAAGAAAAGGCGCUGAGAGAUCGUGCCACGAAGAUAUCAUAGAACACGGAGGAGAUGACUAUAGUGGACAGAGGUGGGGGCGGAAACAAACUGACUCAGGAUGUGGACAGGAUAGGAGAUGUCAGGACGCGUAACAGCGAGAUAGACAAGACUCCCAACAAGGUGACGAUAGCGAGUGGGAUUAGGGAGAGGGUCACCAUCAGAAGCACGAAGCUGAACGUUGAGCUCCAUAGGAGUCACAACGGUGCGCUCAUCACCAAGGGCAGCACGAGCAAGAAGAUCCUGAAUAUAUUUUUCUUGGAAGACGUAGAAGCCAUCGGAGGUCGAGGAGAUCUCAAUCCCAAGGAAAUAACGAAGUGGACCAAGAUCAGUCAUGAGGAACUGGUCAUGAAGGCGACCCUUAACAAAGGCAAUAUAGUCAGUAUCGUCACCAGUGAUGAUCAUGUCAUCAACAUAGAGAAGGAGAAGAGUCCAACCACGAGGAGACGUGUGAACAAACAAGGCGGGAUCAUGGUCACUGGGCAAGAAACCAGCGGCAGUCACCACAGAGGCGAAGCGCUCAAACCAGGCACGAGGGGCCUGUUUAAGACCAUAGAGGGAGCGGCGAAGUCUACAGACUGUACCAUCAGGAGCAUAGUACCCCGGUGGUGGUUGCAUAUACACCUCCUCACGCAACUCGCCAUUGAGAAAAGCAUUCUGGACAUCAAGCUGAGAGAUUGACCAAUGACGGACAGAAGCCACAGCAAGAAGAGUGCGGACAGUGGUCAUGUGAGCCACAGGAGCAAAAGUCUCAUCGUAAUCGCGUCCCUGCUCCUACUGAAAACCACGGGCCACAAGACGAGCUUUGUAGCGCUCAAGAGAACCAUCAGAGCGAUUCUUAAUCUUGUAGACCCACUUGCAGGUGAUGGGACAAACACCAGAAGGGAGGGAAACCAGAUCCCAGGUGCCAGAGCGCUCAAGGGCAGCAAGCUCUUCGGCCAUCGCAAGCUGCCAUUUAGGCUGAGUCAUGGCAGUCCGAUAGGAAGUGGGCUCAGCAAUAACUGAGAGACCGUACCGAUCAGGGGAAUAGCGAUCAGGCGGGGGGCAAGGCCGAGCACGGAGGUUAUGAACCGGGGGAGGCGUGAACGGUGGUGCACCAGAGGUGGAAGGCACGUCAGGAGAAUCAGGGGAAGCAUCCUCAGUACGAGGGCGGCGAGUGUAGUGGAGAGGAAACGGGGAGAGAGGGGGACGGACUGGAGAUGAUGGUGGAGAGGUAGAGGAAGAGGAUGGAGAAGAGGGGGUCGAUGGUGAGGAAGAAGGAAUGAGAGGGGCAUGUGGAAGAGGUGAAACAUGAGGCACAUAGCAGGAUGUAUCGGGAAGAAGAAGAAAGGAAAUAUCAUCCACAGAGAAGCUCGAGGAAGAAGGACGUGGGUAGUAAGAACAGGACUCACCAAAGGUCACAUCACGCAAGAUGCGUAAGCGACGACCAACAGAAUCCCAGCAGCGAUAGCCCUUGUGCUCAUCACUGUAGCCAAGGAAAAUACACUCAACGGACUGAGCAGUCAGUUUGGUGCAUUCUCGCGGGGCUAGAAGAACAUAGCACACACAUCCAAACAUACGAAGAGCUGAGUAGUCAGGAGAACGACCAGUGAGACACUCCAUGGGAAUACCACCCUGCAGAGCAGUCGAUGGCUGAAUGUUGAUGAGAUAGGUGGAUGUAGAAACAACCUCAGCCCAAAAGUGUGGUGGAAGGGAAGCGGCAAUCAUCAGCGCACGAGCUGUCUCAAGCAGAUGACGAUGCUUGCGUUCAGCAACGCCAUUCUGAGCAUGAGCACCAGGACAUGAGAACUGGGAAAGAGUGCCCUGUUCCGCAAGAAAACCACGCAACAGCUGAGAGAUAUACUCUCCAGCAGAGUCAGCACGAAAAGUGCGAAUGGGCGUGGAAAACUGGGUGUGAACCAUGGCAGCAAAUCGUUUGUACAUAGAGAGAACCUCGCUACGAGAUUUCUUGAAGUAGAGCCAAUUGUAGCGAGAGAAAUCAUCAAUAAACAAAACAUAGUAGCGAUGACCACCCUUCGAAUCAAAGGGAGCAGGACCCCAAACAUCAGAAUGAACUAAGUCAAAAGGACGCUGAGAGACCGACUCACUGGUAGGAUAAGGUAACUGGGUCUGUUUGCCAAGUCUACAACCAUUACAAUGUAAAGAAACAUCGCUAGAUACAGACCCUAGGAGGCCCUGACGCACUAAAGAUGACAAGCGAGAGCCACAGAGGUGACCAAGGCGAUGAUGCCACUGCUGGAAGGAUGCAAACGAAGAGGCAGCAAGGGCAUGAGAGCUGGCAGAAGUGGUGGCAGCGGAAGGAACACAAAGCCAGUCAACCUCCCAAAGGCCCUCUGACUCACGGCGCCGGGGGCCAGCACCAACCAAAGCCUUGGGGCGACGAUCCUGAAUGGAGCAAGAGUCGGUAUCAAGAAUGACACGACAACCAGAAUCAGUAAGUUGGGCAGCGAAAAAAGAUUCAUGGUAAGGCGAGGAACAUGAGAAACACUAGGAACAGAGAAGGAUGGAGUGGAAAGAAAACCACGACUAGCAACAGGAAGGGAUGUGCCAUCAGCAGUGAGAACAUUAAUAGGAGAAUCAAGAGGGAGAAGAGAAGACAACAAUGAAGAACCAGAGGACAUAUGAAAGGAGGCUCCAGAAUCCAGAACCCACGAGGAUGUACCUGACGGUGUAGAUGUCGGCGGUGAUGAGGUGGAGACAGCAGUCACAGCAGCAGCAGAGCCUGUCGAGGAAGAACCAGAGGAAGCCAGAAGGCGCUUGAGACGCACAAUGUCCUGGUCAGUGAGUGACAGAGUCGAUGAUGACACAGGAGUCCCACUGGAAGAGGAGCGCCUCUGGUUUCGCUGCUUCUGGUGACAAUCAGACUCUGGGUGGCCUGGCCUGGAGCAGUAGUCACAGAAAGUGUCAUGGCGCGACCGGCCCUUCUCAACAUAAGGAGGGCGACCCACCCCCCUGAAGGUGUUGGUAGGAGCGGUGGAGCAAUGGGACGAGAGACGACACAGGAGCACGAGCAGCCAACACAGAAGAGACUGCAAGCAACCCAGCAGAAUGAAGGCAGGUCUCCUCAGCACGAAGCUCAGCAAGCACUUCCGAGAUAGGAACACGACCACGGGCAAGCAAGUGAGCACGUCAGGGCUCAAACUCGGAUCGGAGACGAGAUAAGAACUCGUGAACCCUCUGAAACUCCAAGUCAGACCGCGUAGUCUGACAACAGCGGCAAGUGCCACAAACAAUUGUCCGUAGUGAGUCAAGCUGACGCCAGAUGGCAGAGCAAUGUGAAUAGAACUCAUCAGCAGACGAGUCACCCUGCUGAAGAGCAUGCUCCUGACGCACCACAGAAAGGUAUAGAGCAUCACCAGAGGGCUGAUAGCGCUGACAAAGGUAGGACCACAUCGCUGCAACAGUGCCGAGACCCAUGAACUCCGAAGCAAACUGAGGGAGGACACUCGCAAUGAGAACAGCAGCAGCGCGAGCAUCAUCAUUGCACCACUGAGUGUAAGCAGAUAGAUCAUCCCGGUAGACAGAAAGAGCAUCAGAAUAUGCGGAUACCUGUUGAUCAUAAGCAUCAACUGCAGAAUCAUCCAGAGCCUUGGCUGCAUCCCGAUCAGCCUGAGAAGCAUCCGCAGCAAGCACUGGCGGCACCGGCGGAACAGGAGCCACCGGAGCAACAGGGCAAGGCGGACAGGGUACCUCGCCAGAGAGAACUCCCCACAGAAGAAGGCCGCGCAUAUGGAUACGCAUGAAGCCCACAAACUCAGCACAGUUGGUGCCAUCGAAGAUCACCGAGCACCGAGGGACCGCGACAUAGCCCGAAGCAGACAUGAGAAGCCUCUCUGCCUUUUUUUUUGGUCAACGGACCCUCAACUCGAUCUGGAUCGAGGGGAUCUCGAACCAGGAAGCGAGCGAGGCCACAGAGAGCGACUGCGGGCAGGGAGCGCGUGAGGCUGGGACUCCCCGAUGCAGCCAGUCGAGCAGCACAGGCGGGCGGACGGGGAACGCACGGCCCGGCUUGAGAGGAGGAGCAGCACGCGGCCCAGCGCAGAAUCGGGCAGAGGACGAGCCCGAGAGCGGCGCGGCCCUGCGCGAGAGGAAGAGGAGCGCGCGGCUCUGCGCGAGAGGAAGAGGAGCGCGACCCGGACGGGAUCGAGCAGAGGAGGCGCUCCCGAGGCCGGCUGGCAGGAGCUUGCUCACAUGGGGGAUGGAGGAGCGCUGCCUUGGCGCGGGCCAAGAUGCACCAGACGGGGGAGACGAGGCCAAACGGGACAGCCGGGGCGGCGGAUCCGGACGGGACGAGUGCGACGGCGACGGCCGGAAUCGAGCAGAGGCGGCCGGAGACGAGGUAGGCUAGGAGGAGGGAGCACGGAGUUGCAGCGUGCGGGAGAGCGAGGGUAACCUAGCAUCUGAUACCAUGUUGGAUAAAUAGCAACUGGAUUUACCGAGGGCCAAAGGCCAGUACAUAUACAUGCGUAGGAAAGUGCAGAAAAGCCCCUUAUACAAUAGAGAUGUACAAAGAGUAACUAUACACAUCUAACAACCUGAAUUUGGGUAAGCCGAUGCUAAAGACUUGUAAUAGAGCUAGUGAUGACACAUCAAAGCCUGUUAAUAGAAUAGAACCUAGCAUCUUCUUUAUCGAAAAUGUGGCCUUAGUUGUUUCAACUAAAGAAUAAAAAGCAAUAACCUGAACUGGGGUAAGCCGACCCUAGAGACUCGUAAUAGAGAUGAUGAUGACACAUCAAAGCCUGUUGAAAGAAUAGAAUCUUGCAUCCUCUUUAUCGAAAAUGUGGCCUUUGUUAGAUCCUCCGAGCAAGUUUCCAUAGUCAAGACUAUGCAAUCCAUAGUCAAGACUAUGCAAGGAAAAUUUACCAAGCUCAAACUGGCAACAAUUACAGCCUAAUAUUGAGAACACUCCUAAAACUCUAGCUAAAUGUUAAAAACACAUUAAAAUACUGCUACUAACUAAACAAAUGUUAGUAAGGAGGGGUGCCACACUAAUGGUUUUAACUCAAGAAUAAAGAGCAGUAACCUGAACUAGGGUAAGCCAACGCUAGACUUCUAAUGGAGCUACUGAUGACACAUCAGUCUGUUGAUAGAACAGGAUCCUGCAUCAUGUUUAUCGAAAAUGUGGCAUUGGUUGGAUCAUCCAAGCAAGUUUCCAUAUUCGGGACUAAGGAAAUUUUACCAAGCUAAGACUGGCAACAAUUACAGCCUAAUAUCGAGAACACCGCUAAAACCUCCAGCAAAAUGGUAAAACCACUUCAAAAAUACUGCUACCAAAUAAACGAAUGUUGGAAAAGAGGGGUGUCACACUGAUGGUUUUAACUAAAGAAUGAACAAAGUAUUCUGCAGAAACAAAGCUCUUAGCUAUUGAUGAAUAUUUCUUUCCUAGCUAGGCGCCCUUUUAUAGAUUCCCCAGAGAUAUACACAUGUACUCAUUAUGGGUAUUUUCUAUGUAAAUUGGGGCUCAAAGUGCCGCUGGUUCUGAAAAAACAAUGUCUUGGUUAAUUAUAACAUGUAUUGGGGUAUUUUUCUUUGCACUGCAAAAGAAAUCGAUAUUUUUUCAUGCCCAAAAAUAUUAAUUGAUAUUCACUCUUCCAUAUCAGAUAUCAAUGAGUAGUAACCUGAACUAGGGUAAGCCAAUGCUAGAGACUUAAUAGAGCUGUUGAUGACACAUCAAAGCUUGUUGGUAGAAUAGAACCUUGCAUCUUCUUUAUAGAAAAUGUGGCCUUGGUUGGAUCCUCUGAGGAAGUUUCCACAUUCGAGACUAAGCAAGGAAAAUUUACCAAGCUCAGACCGGCAACAAUUACAACCUAACAUUCAGAACAUUGCUAAAACCUCCAGCAAAAUGGUAAAUACACUUAAAAAAUACUCCUACUAACUAAACGAGUGUUAAUAAGGAGGGGUGCCACGCUGAUGGUUUUAACUAAAGAAUAAAGAGCGGUAACCUGAACUAAGAUAAGCCGACACCAGAGACUUCUAAUAGAGGUACUGAUGACAAAUCAAAGCCUGUUGAUAGAACAGAAUCUAGCAUCUUCUUUUUCGAAAAUUUGGCCUUGGUUGGAUCUUACGAGCAAGUUUCCAUAUUCAGGACUAAGGAAGUUUUACCAUGCCCAGACUGGCAACAAUUACAACCUAAUACCGAGAACACCACUAAAACCUCCAGCAAGAUGGUAAAAAUACUUUUAAAAUACUACUACUAACUAAACGAAUGUUAGAAAAGGGGGUGCCGCACUAAUGGUUUUAACUAAAGAAUAAAGAGCAGUAACCUGAAUUCAUUUUUGUGGAUGCAUCUCAGUACUACCUUCUGGAGUCUGUUUGCAAGUAACUUCGUUACGAACUUCAAACAAGAAUUAGACCGUGAAAUUGGUCUGAAAUCAUUGGGCCCCUCAGGUGAUAGCACUUUAGGAAUCAAGGUGAUCAAAGAACCAUUAAUACUUUCAAGACUAAUUUUCACCCUUCCAUAUCACAUAUCAAUGAGUAGUAACCUGAACUGGGGUAAGCCGACCCUAGAGACUUGUAAUAGAGCUGGUGAUGACACAUCAAAGCCUGUUGAUAGAAUAGAACCUUGCAUCUUCUUUAUAGGAAAUGUGGUCUUGGUUGGAUCUUCCGAGCAAGUUUCCACAUUCGAGACUAAGCAAGAAAAAUUUACCAUGCUCAGACUGGCAACAAUUAGAUCCUAAUAUUGAGAACACUGCUAAAACCUCCAGCAAAAUAGUAAAUACACUAACUAAACUACUGUUAGAAAAGAGGAGUGCCACACUGAUGAUUUUAACUAAAGAAUAAAGAGCGGUAACUUGCUGGGGUAAGCCAACGCUAGAGACUUGUAAUAGAGGUGCUGAUGACUAAUCAAAGCAUGUUGAUGGAAUAGAAUCUUGCAUCUUCUUUGUCGAAAUUUUGGCCUUGGUUGCAUCCUCCGAGCAAGUUUCCAUAGUGAGACUAUGCAAGGAAAAUUUAUCAAGCUCAGACUGGCAACAAUUACAGCCUAAUAUCAAGAACACUGCUAAAACCUCCAGCAAAAUGGUAAAAAUACUGCUACUAACUAAACGAAUUUUAGUAAGAAGGGGUGAGACACUGAUGGUUUUAACUAAAGAAUAAAAAAAACAAUAAUCUGAACUAGGGUAAGCCGACGCUAUACUACUAAUAGAGUUGCUGAUGACACAUCAAAGCCUGUUGAUAGAACAUAAUCUUGCAUUUUUUUUAUCAAAAAUGGGGCCUUGGUUGGAUCCUCCGAGCAAGUUUCCAAAUUCAAGACUAUGUAAGAACAUUUUACCUUGCCAAGCUCGCAACAGUUACAGCCUAAUAUCGAGAAUACCACUAAAACCUCAACAAAAUGGUAGAAACAUUUUUUAAAUACUGCUACUAAAUAAACAAAUGUUAAAAGGAGGGCGUCAAUGAUUGUUUUAACUAAAGAAUAAAGAGCAGUAACCUGAACUGGGGUAAGUUGAUGCUAGAGACUUGUAAUAGAGCUGCUGAUAUCACAUCAAAGCCCGCUAAUAGAAUAGAAUCUUGCAUCUUCUUUAUCGAAAAUGUGGCCUUGGUUGGAUAUUCCGAGCAAGUUUCCAUAUUCGGGACUAAGGAAAUUUUAUCAAGCUUAGACCGACAACAAUUACAGCCUAAUAUCAAGAACACCGCUAAAACCUCCAGCAAAAUGGUAAAAACACUUCAAAAAUAUUGCUACUAACUAAACGAAUGUUAGAAACGAGGGGUACAACACUGAUGGUUUUAACUAAAGAAUAAAGAACAUAUUCUGUGGAAACAAAGCUCGCUAUUGAAUAUUUCUUUCUUAGGUAGGCGCUCUUUUAUAGAUUCCCCGCAGGUAUACACAUUUACACAUUAGGGGUAUUUUCUAUGUAAAUUGGGGUCUCAAAGGGCCGCUGGUUCUGAGAAAACCAACGUCUUGGUUAAUUAUACCAUGUAUUAGGGUAUUUUUCCUUGCACUGCAAAAGAAAUCGAUAUUUUUUCCUGCCCAAAAAAUAUUAAUUGAUAUUUAUUUAUUUUCGACUGACUACUGUGAGGCAACAGCCUCACAGUCCUUUAUUGAAGAACUGAGAGGUCUUACAAACCAAACUAAAAGACUAAGCCAAGCUAAGAAAAAAACUAUACUUACCUAUUUACAUGUUACAUAAUUACAGAAAAGCUAUAAACAAACUCCUAUGGGAGAGAGUUAAUCUAGCUUAACAAAGCUGGUCUUGUCACAUCAUGUAUGAACCUUUCCUUCCAUCCCCUAAAAGAAGGCCUCUCAUGACUGAAGAUCCUUCCAUUACGAAUAAGCCAAAUGUUCCAGGCAGCCAGAAAAGCAACCUCAUGGAAAAAAGGGUAUCCAAAGCUUCUUUUGGCGUGAAGGAUACACUCUCUUGGGUUUAGACCAGCAGUCCACUGGAUCUGAAGAUAAUUCCAUACCCUUGCACUGAAGGUACACUUAAAAAAUACUGUAGGUGAUAUCUGUCCUCCAGGGUUUGAGUGGGGCAUAAAGGGCAGUUAUUCUCAUCAUUCUGUUGCCUCCAGUGCCUUCUAACCAGCAUAUCUCUGGUAUUUAAUCUGUCAUUAAGCAUCAGCCAUGCAAAGACCUUAAUCUUCAUGAUACUCCUGCUUUCCCAUAUCCAUUUACAUGGCUCAUCAACU
rnacentral:lncRNA from 1 species